rnacentral:lncRNA from 1 species
GCAAUCACACACAUGUUGAAAGGAUCACACACAGAUGCAUAUGCAGUGACUAGGUUUACUCUCUCAAUAAACCUCACUGGAGUCAUAACUCGACCCCUCAACCACAUUCGUCUCACCUCUCACAUAACCCUUCUGCUUAUCCUUCUUCUUGGGACAAUCCCUAAUAAAGUGUCCAGACUUACCACAACUAUAACAUCGUCUACCAC